rnacentral:rRNA from 1 species
UACGUAGGGUGCGAGCGUUAAUCGGAAUUACUGGGCGUAAAGCGAGCGCAGACGGUUACUUAAGCAGGAUGUGAAAUCCCCGGGCUCAACCUGGGAACUGCGUUCUGAACUGGGUAGCUAGAGUAUGUCAGAGGGGGGUAGAAUUCCACGUGUAGCAGUGAAAUGCGUAGAGAUGUGGAGGAAUACCGAUGGCGAAGGCAGCCCCCUGGGAUAAUACUGACGUUCAUGCUCGAAAGCGUGGGUAGCAAAC